GUAAGCACAAAAUGUUGAAAUCUUGAACUGAAAUAUGGUGAAUCACAUCACUAGGAGAGCACGCUGUUGUCAUAAUGGAUCAGCCUGCCCUGUCCUGGCUGCCAAUCCACAUAGAAGCCUACCAUGAAUGAUUCUGGGUGAGGAGAGUGAGGAGAACUCAGUAGAAACCAUCACUGCUAUCACCUAGAGAGAAAUGACUGUAAACACACUCUCUUAUGCAGGAAGGCCGGCCUGCAGCCAUCCCACAAAAGGAAAGAUAGAAAGCUGACCUUGGGGAAGGACUACAGUCGAGGAAAUGGACAAGAAACAGACAGAUACACACGCAAAGAAGAACCUGGUAUCUUGAGACUACCCUGUACUUGGCCCAGGUCUCAAGAGUCCUUCAGAGAGUCUGAUGUCCUGGGAAACAGAGGGAAGAUUCUACAGAGCAGCAACUAGACGAAAUAAAGUGAGGAGACAGCAUUAUAGUCGUGUUUUGGGACUCUCAUCUAUAGUCAGUUGAUCAUAGUAGUGUAAUA